UACGUAGGGUGCAAGCGUUGUCCGGAAUUAUUGGGCGUAAAGAGCUCGUAGGCGGUUUGUCGCGUCUGCUGUGAAAACUGGAGGCUCAACCUCCAGCCUGCAGUGGGUACGGGCAAACUAGAGUGCGGUAGGGGAGAUUGGAAUUCCUGGUGUAGCGGUGGAAUGCGCAGAUAUCAGGAGGAACACCGGUGGCGAAGGCGGCCCGCUGGGCAGAGACUGACGCUGAGGCGCGACAGCGUGGGGAGCAAACAGG
rnacentral:rRNA from 1 species